rnacentral:tRNA from 1 species
AGCAGGUCAGACCGCCUUCUUCCCUCUUGAGCGUCAUGGCUUCCCAAGCUGAGAGCGCGAGUUCGAUUCUCGUCACCCGCUCCA